CGAAAGUCCUCCCUCCUUUAGACCUACCCAGCUUGUGUACUGCCGUCGUAAGCACACCUCUAAAAGCCAAAGUAUGCAAUAAUGAUAUAUUCAUUUACGUCAGGUCAAAGUGCAGCUCAUGAGGAGGUGACGAUGGGUUACACCCUAUAAUAAAGAUACGGAUUGUGUUAUCAAAAAACACAUGAAGGUGGACUUGACUGUAAUAUUAUUACAAAAUUAUAAUGAAACUGAAUCUAAGACAUGCACACAUCGCCCGUCACUCUUGCCUAAAGGCGAGAUAAGUCGUAACAAAGUAGGUGUAACGGAAGUUGCACCUGU
rnacentral:rRNA from 1 species